rnacentral:rRNA from 1 species
ACGCUCGACACCUACGGGAAGCAGCAGUGGGGAAUAUUGGGCAAUGGGCGCAAGCCUGACCCAGCAACGCCGCGUGAAGGAAGAAGGCCCUCGGGUUGUAAACUUCUUUUGUCAGGGACGAAGCAAGUGACGGUACCUGACGAAUAAGCCACGGCUAACUACGUGCCAGUAGCCGCGGUAAUCUGAGCGGGCUGGCAAGGC